CAAUAGCGUAUACUAAAGUUGUUGCGAUUAAAAAGCUCGUAGUUGGAUCUCAGGCAUGGGCGCACGGUCCGCCUCGCGGCGGUCACUGGGUGUUUUGUUUCCCAUCCUACGCUUCCCGGUUAUCAGCCCAUGGUGCUCUUCACUGAGCGUUUUGGGUGGCCGGAACGUUUACUUUGAAGAAAUUAGAGUGUUCAAAGCAGGCACGUCGCCUGAAUAAUGGUGCAUGGAAUAAUGGAAUAGGACCUCGGUUCUAUUUUGCUGGUUUUCGGAACACGAGGUAAUGAUUAAGAGGGACAGACGGGGGCAUCCGUAUUGCGGUGUUAGAGGUGAAAUUCUUGGAUCAUCGCAAGACGAACAACUGCGAAAGCAUUUGCCAAGCAUGUUUUCAUUAG
rnacentral:rRNA from 1 species